AGAAGAUGAUAAACUUACUAUUGGGUGAACAGAAACUGUGUCUUGAUUGUCAGGUUCUGAUUUG
ensembl:snoRNA